GAUGAACGCUGGCGGCGUGCCUAAUACAUGCAAGUCGAGCGAACGGACGAGAAGCUUGCUUCUCUGAUGUUAGCGGCGGACGGGUGAGUAACACGUGGAUAACCUACCUAUAAGACUGGGAUAACUUCGGGAAACCGGAGCUAAUACCGGAUGAUAUUUUGAACCGCAUGGUUCAAAAGUGAAAGACGGUCUUGCUGUCACUUAUAGAUGGAUCCGCGCUGCAUUAGCUAGUUGGUAAGGUAACGGCUUACCAAGGCAACGAUGCAUAGCCGACCCGAGAGGGUGAUCGGCCACACCGGAACUGAGACACGGUCCAGACUCCUACGGGAGGCAGCAGUAGGGAAUGUUCCGCUAUGGGCGAAAGCCUGACGGAGCAACGCCGCGUGAGUGAUGAAGGUCUUCGGAUCGUAAAACUCUGUUAUUAGGGAAGAACAUAUGUGUAAGUAACUGUGCACAUCUUGACGGUACCUAAUCAGAAAGCCACGGCCAACUACGUG
rnacentral:rRNA from 1 species